UGGGACACCUUCAAAGAAAUGUGACCU
rnacentral:piRNA from 1 species